UGAAGAGUUUGAUCAUGGCUCAGAUUGAACGCUGGCGGCAGGCUUAACACAUGCAAGUCGAGCGGUAACAGGGAGUGCUUGCACUCCGCUGACGAGCGGCGGACGGGUGAGUAAUGCAUAGGAAACUGCCCAGUAGUGGGGGAUAGCCCGGGGAAACCCGGAUUAAUACCGCGUACGCCCUUCGGGGGAAAGCAGGGGAUCUUCGGACCUUGCGCUAUUGGAUGUGCCUAUGUCGGAUUAGCUAGUUGGUGGGGUAAAGGCCUACCAAGGCGACGAUCCGUAGCUGGUCUGAGAGGAUGAUCAGCCACACUGGGACUGAGACACGGCCCAGACUCCUACGGGAGGCAGCAGUGGGGAAUAUUGGACAAUGGGGGCAACCCUGAUCCAGCCAUGCCGCGUGUGUGAAGAAGGCUUUCGGGUUGUAAAGCACUUUCAGUGAGGAGGAAAAGUUGGUCGUUAAUACCGGCCAGCCUUGACGUUACUCACAGAAGAAGCACCGGCUAACUCCGUGCCAGCAGCCGCGGUAAUACGGAGGAUCCAAGCGUUAUCCGGAUUCAUUGGGUUUAAAGGGUCCGCAGGCGGGCCAGUAAGUCAGGGGUGAAAGUUUGCGGCUCAACCGUAAAAUUGCCUUUGAUACUGCUGGUCUUGAGUUGUGGUGAAGUGGCCGGAAUAUGUGGUGUAGCGGUGAAAUGCAUAGAUAUCACAUAGAACACCGAUUGCGAAGGCAGGUCACUAACCACACACUGACGCUGAUGGACGAAAGCGUGGGGAGCGAACGGGAUUAGAUACCCCGGUAGUCCACGCCGUAAACGAUGGACACUAGCUGUUGGGGCUCACGCCUCAGCGGCCAAGCGAAAGUGAUAAGUGUCCCACCUGGGGAGUACGUUCGCAAGAAUGAAACUCAAAGGAAUUGACGGGGGCCCGCACAAGCGGUGGAGCAUGUGGUUUAAUUCGAUGAUACGCGAGGAACCUUACCUGGGCUUAAAUGCAGAACGACGGAUUGGGAAACCAGUCUUUCUUCGGACGUUUUGCAAGGUGCUGCAUGGUUGUCGUCAGCUCGUGCCGUGAGGUGUCAGGUUAAGUCCUAUAACGAGCGCAACCCCUACCGUUAGUUGCCAGCGAGUAAUGUCGGGGACUCUAACGGAACUGCCGGUGCAAACCGCGAGGAAGGUGGGGAUGACGUCAAAUCAUCACGGCCCUUACGUCCUGGGCUACACACGUGCUACAAUGGCCGGUACAAUGAGCAGCCACUGCGCGAGCAGGAGCGAAUCUAAAAAACCGGUCACAGUUCGGAUCGGGGUCUGCAACUCGACCCCGUGAAGCUGGAAUCGCUAGUAAUCGCGCAUCAGCCAUGGCGCGGUGAAUACGUUCCCGGGCC
rnacentral:rRNA from 1 species